rnacentral:rRNA from 1 species
ACGGGGGCCCGCACAGGCGGUGGAGCAUGUGGUUUAAUUCGAUGAUACGCGAGGAACCUUACCAGGUCUUGACAUCCCCCGCGAUGCUUUAGAGAUAAAGCGGAGGUAUUCGGGGAGACAGGUGGUGCAUGGUUGUCGUCAGCUCGUGUCGUGAGAUGUUGGGUUAAGUCCCGCAACGAGCGCAACCCUUGUGUUUUAGUUGCAAACAGGUCAAGCUGUGCACUCUAGACAGACUGCCGUGGACAACACGGAGGAAGGUGGGGAUGACGUCAAAUCAUCAUGCCCCUUAUGAUCUGGGCUACACACGUGCUACAAUGGCCGGUACAACGGGCAGCGAAGGAGCGAUCCGGAGCGAAUCCUAAAAAGCCGGUCCCAGUUCGGAUUGCAGGCUGAAACUCGCCUACAUGAAGUUGGAGUUGCUAGUAAUCGCGAAUCAGAAUGUCGCGGUGAAUGCGUUCCCGGGUCUU